rnacentral:misc_RNA from 1 species
GGAAGUAAAAGUCGUAACAAGAUUUUCGUAGGUGAACCUGCGGAAGGAUCAUUACCGAGUUAGGGGCCCUUGGGCUCCAAACUUCCAACCCUUUGCUUACAACCUUUUGUUGCUUUGGCGGAGCGGAGGAGUCUCAUCUCCCCCCGCCGGCUUCGGUCGGUGCGCUCUCCGCCAGAGAUUUUUCAAAACCUGCUUGAAAACGUGUCAGUCUGAAGCAAAAAAUUUUAAAUCGCAAAAAAACUUUCAACAACGGAUCUCUUGGUUCUG